rnacentral:rRNA from 1 species
AGAACGAACGCUGGCGGCAGGCUUAACACAUGCAAGUCGAACGCGUGUAGCAAUACACGAGUGGCGCACGGGUGAGUAACGCGUGGAUAUCUGCCUUUGGUUCGGAAUAACUCCGGGAAACUGGAGCUAAUACCGGAUGGUUCCUACGGGAUAAAGAUUUAUCGCCAAAAGAUGAGUCCGCGUACGAUUAGCUAGUUGGUGAGGUAAUGGCUCACCAAGGCGACGAUCGUUAGCUGGUCUGAGAGGACGAUCAGCCACACUGGGACUGAGACACGGCCCAGACUCCUACGGGAGGCAGCAGUGGGGAAUAUUGGACAAUGGGGGCAACCCUGAUCCAGCCAUGCCGCGUGAGUGAUGAAGGCCUUCGGGCUGUAAAGCUCUUUUGGCGGGGACGAUGAUGACGGUACCCGCAGAAUAAGCCCCGGCUAACUUCGUG